rnacentral:tRNA from 1 species
UAUUUUAGUGUAUGAUGCACAAUAAUUUUUGAUAUUAUUAGAUAUAGCUUAGCACAAUAAUUUUUGAUAUUAUUAGAUAUAGUUUAAUUCUAUAAAAUA